AUCCCAGUAGCGCAAUGAUUAGCGCGUUGGACUUCUAAUCCGAAGGUCGUGGGUUUUUUGGUCCCGCCUGAAAUG